CACGAACGCUGGCGGCGUGCCUAAUACAUGCAAGUCGAGCGCAGGAAAUCGACGGAACCCUUCGGGGGGAAGUCGACGGAAUGAGCGGCGGACGGGUGAGUAACACGUAAAGAACCUGCCCUCAGGUCUGGGAUAACCACGAGAAAUCGGGGCUAAUACCGGAUGGGUCAUCGGACCGCAUGGUCCGAGGAUGAAAGGCGCUCCGGCGUCGCCUGGGGAUGGCUUUGAGGUGCAUUAGCUAGUUGGUGGGGUAAUGGCCCACCAAGGCGACGAUGCAUAGCCGACCUGAGAGGGUGAUCGGCCACACUGGGACUGAGACACGGCCCAGACUCCUACGGGAGGCAGCAGUAGGGAAUCUUCCACAAUGGACGAAAGUCUGAUGGAGCAACGCCGCGUGAACGAUGAAGGCCUUCGGGUCGUAAAGUUCUGUUGUAAGGGAAGAACAAGUGCCGCAGGCAAUGGCGGCACCUUGACGGUACCUUGCGAGAAAGCCACGGCUAACUACGUGCCAGCCGCCGCCGUAAGAC
rnacentral:rRNA from 1 species